CACGUAGGGGCGAGCGUUGUCCGGAAUUACUGGGCGUAAAGGGCGCGCAGGCUGUUAUGCGAGUCUGCUGUGAAAUGUACCGGCUCAACCGGUGCCUUGCGGCGGAUACUGCAUAGCUGGAGUACUGGAGAGGGAAGUGGAAUUCCCGGUGUAGCGGUGAAAUGCGUAGAUAUCAGGAGGAACACCGGUGGCGAAGGCGGGUCUCUGGGUAGUAACUGACGCUGAGGAGCGAAAGCAUGGGUAGCGAACAGGAUUAGAUACCCGGGUA
rnacentral:rRNA from 1 species